CAGAACGAACGCUGGCGGCGCGUUUAAGCAUGCAAGUCGAGCGGCAAGGGCCUUCGGGCCCCUAGAGCGGCGGACGGGUGAGUAACACGUGGACAAUCUGCCCCCCGGCCCGGGAUAGCCCAGGGAAAUCUGGAUUAAUACCGGAUGAGACGGGACCCGCGAUGGCGGGACCCGGGAAAGGCGCUGCGGCGCCGCCGGGGGAUGAGUCUGCGUCCCAUUAGCUAGACGGCGGGGUAACGGCCCACCGUGGCGACGAUGGGUAGCCGGCCUGAGAGGGUGGACGGCCACAUUGGAACUGAGACACGGUCCAGACUCCUACGGGAGGCAGCAGCCAAGAAUCUUCCGCAAUGGGCGAAAGCCUGUCGGAGCGAACCGCCGCGUGAACGAAGAAGGCCGUGAGGUUGUAAAGUUCUUUUCGGGAGGGGGAACAACCGUGGCAGGGAAUGGCCGCGGGAUGACGUGAAUCCCGGAAUAAGCCCCGGCUAACUACGUGCCAGCAGCUGC
rnacentral:rRNA from 1 species